rnacentral:rRNA from 1 species
GAUGAACGCUGGCGGCGUGCCUAAUACAUGCAAGUCGAGCGAACAGACGAGGAGCUUGCUCCUCUGACGUUAGCGGCGGACGGGUGAGUAACACGUGGAUAACCUACCUCUAAGACUGGGAUAACUUCGGGAAACCGGAGCUAAUACCGGAUAAUAUAUUGAACCGGAUGGUUCAAUAGUGAAAGACGGUUUUGCUGUCACUUAUAGCUGGAUCCGCGCCGCAUUAGCUAGUUGGUAAGGUAACGGCCUACCAAGGCGACGAUGCGUAGCCGGCCUGAGAGGGUGAUCGGCCACACUGGAACUGAGACACGGUCCAGACUCCUACGGGAGGCAGCAGUAGGGAAUCUUCCGCAAUGGGCGAAAGCCUGACGGAGCAACGCCGCGUGAGUGAUGAAGGUCUUCGGAUCGUAAAACUCUGUUAUUAGGGAAGAACAAAUGUGUAAGUAACUAUGCACGUCUUGACGGUACCUAAUCAGAAAGCCACGGCUAACUACGUG